UACGAAGGGUGCAAGCGUUACUCGGAAUUACUGGGCGUAAAGCGUGCGCAGGCGGUUCGCUAAGACCGAUGUGAAAUCCCCGGGCUUAACCUGGGAACUGCAUUGGUGACUGGCGGGCUAGAGUGUGGCAGAGGGGGGUAGAAUUCCACGUGUAGCAGUGAAAUGCGUAGAGAUGUGGAGGAAUACCGAUGGCGAAGGCAGCCCCCUGGGCUAACACUGACGCUCAUGCACGAAAGCGUGGGGAGCAAACAGG
rnacentral:rRNA from 1 species